rnacentral:lncRNA from 10 species
GACCCUCGAAUUACAACAACAUUGCUCCUGCCUGGGUCUGCAGCUCCACGAAAAUCAAACUAGAACAAGACCUCUCCUCCCUGGGUCGCCAGCUUUCUGACCCUCGAACUACAGCAAUGUUGCUCCUGCCUGGGUCUGCACUCCACAACCCUCAAACUAGAACAGCAGCACCAGCUGCUUCCUGGACUUCCAGCUCAAUGACUCUCACACUUCAAUGGCAGCAAUGGCUCCACCCCCAGGCUCCAGCUCCAACACCCUCAGAUCUGAGCAGCGGCAGCACCAGCUCCUUUCUGGGUCUUCUGUUUCACGAUCCUUAAAUUAGAACAGCAGCACCAUCUUCUCCCUGGGUCUCCAGCUCCACGAAACUCAAGCUAGAAUAGCAGCACCGGCUCCUCUGGGAUCUUCAGCUCCACGACCCUAAGACAUCAGUGGCAGCACUGGCUCCUCCCCUGGGCUCCAGCUCCAGGACCCUCAAACUUGAACAGAAACACCAGCUCCUCCCCAGGCCUCCAGCUCCUUGACCCUCAUAAACAAUCCCUUCUUAUGAAAUGUAGCAGUCAGGAAAACUGUAGAGGAAGUAAAUAAAUAAAUGGUUUCCUUUCAAA